rnacentral:rRNA from 1 species
GUCCAGACUCCUACGGGAGGCAGCAGUGGGGAAUAUUGGGCAAUGGACGCAAGUCUGACCCAGCAACGCCGCGUGAAGGAAGAAGGCUUUCGGGUUGUAAACUUCUUUUAAGGGGGAAGAGCAGAAGACGGUACCCCUUGAAUAAGCCACGGCUAACUCCGUGCCAGCAGCCGCGGUAAUACGGAGGAUGCGAGCGUUAUCCGGAUUUAUUGGGUUUAAAGGGUGCGCAGGCGGCACGGCAAGCCGGCGGUCAAAUCGCGGGGCUCAACCCCGCCCAGCCGUCGGAACUGCCGGGCUAGAGUGGGCGAGAAGUGCGCGGAAUGCGUGGUGUAGCGGUGAAAUGCAUAGAUAUCACGCAGAACCCCGAUUGCGAAGGCAGCCUUCCGGCGCCCUACUGACGCUGAGGCACGAAAGUGCGGGGAUCGAACAGGAUUAGAUACCCCAGUA